UUUUUUAAUUGAAAACUUGUAUGAAAGGUUCAACGAAAUAUUAACUGUUUCAUAAAAAUUUAUAUAGAAAUUAAUUUUUUAGUUAAAAAGCUAAAAUAUAGUUAAAAGACGAGAAGACCCUAUAGAGUUUUAUAUUAUUUAUUUUUUAAUUUAUUAAUAAUAAUUAAAAUUUAAAUUUAAAUAAUAUUUUGUUGGGGUGACAGUAAAAUUUUAGUAUCUUUUAUUAUUUUUUAACAAUGAUUUUUGAUAAAUUGAUCCAUUAUUAAUGAUUAAAAGAUUAAAUUACCUUAGGGAUAACAGCGUAAUUUUUUUGAAGAGUUCUUAUCGAUAAAAAAUUUUGC
rnacentral:rRNA from 1 species